UACAGAGGGGACAAGCGUUGUUCGGAAUUACUGGGCGUAAAGGGCGCGUAGGCGGUUUGCUAAGUUGAAUGUGAAAACUCUGGGCUUAACCCAGAGCCUGCAUUCAAUACUGGCAGGCUAGAGUUCUGGAGGGGAUAGCGGAAUUCCUGGUGUAGCGGUGAAAUGCGUAGAUAUCAGGAGGAACACCGGUGGCGAAGGCGGCUAUCUGGACAGAGUCUGACGCUGAGGCGCGAAAGCUAGGGGAGCAAACAGG
rnacentral:rRNA from 1 species